UACGUAGGUGACAAGCGUUGUCCGGAUUUACUGGGCGUAAAGAGCGCGCAGGCGGUCGUUCAAGUCGCGUGUGAAAGCCCCCGGCUCAACUGGGGAGGGUCACGCGAUACUGAUCGACUCGAAGGCAGGAGAGGGUAGUGGAAUUCCUGGUGUAGCGGUGAAAUGCGCAGAUAUCAGGAAGAACACCAAUGGCGAAGGCAGCUCUCUGGGACGGUACUGACGCUGAGACGCGAAAGCGUGGGGAGCGAACAGG
rnacentral:rRNA from 1 species